rnacentral:rRNA from 1 species
GACGAACGCUGGCGGCGUGCUUAACACAUGCAAGUCGAACGGAAAGGCCCUGCUUUUGUGGGGUGCUCGAUUGGCGAACGGGUGAGUAACACGUGAGUAACCUGCCCUUGACUGUGUGAUAACUUCAGGAAACUGGGGCUAAUACCGGAUAGGAUCUCCUGCUGCAUGUGGGGGGUUGGAAAGUUUCGGCGGUUGGGGAUGGACUCGCUGGUUAUGAGCUUGUUGGUGGGGUAGUGACUGCCCAGGGGUUUGACGGGUAGCCGGCCUGGGAGGGGGACCGGGCACAUGGCGCCUAAGAUACGGACCAGAAUCCUACCGGCGGCAGUAGUGGGGAACAUGGCAGAGUGGGCGGACGCCUGAUGUAGCAACGCCCCGUGCGGGAUGCCCGCUUUCGAGUUGUAAACAGAUUUCGCAUGUGCUGAAGAGUGAGUGACGGUAAUGGGUAAAGAAGCAACGGCUAACUACGUG